rnacentral:tRNA from 1 species
GGAUUGUGGCUUAGUGGUAGAGCACUUGCCUAGCACAUGUGAGGCUCUGAGUUCAAUCCUCAGCACCA